rnacentral:rRNA from 1 species
AUACGGAGGGUGCAAGCGUUAAUCGGAAUUACUGGGCGCAAAGCGCGCGUAGGCGGAUAUUUAAGUCUCAUGUGAAAGCCCUGGGCUCAACCUGGGAACUGCAUGGGAUACUGGGUAUCUAGAAUACAGUAGAGGGUAGUGGAAUUUCAGGUGUAGCGGUGAAAUGCGUAGAGAUCUGAAGGAACAUCAGUGGCGAAGGCGACUACCUGGACUGAUAUUGACGCUGAGGUGCGAAAGCGUGGGGAGCAAACGGGAUUAGAAACCCCAGUAGUCC